AAUUUCUAAUAUGGCAGAUUAGUGCAAUGGAUUUAAAUCCCAUAUAUAAAGUUUUUCUUUUUUUAGAAA
rnacentral:tRNA from 1 species